rnacentral:rRNA from 1 species
AUGUACAAAAUCCCAACCUUUCAGCAGAAACGGAACUGGCAAAAACUUUGGUCAGCUAGGUCGCUGCUGAUACAAGUUCUCACCGGAGUAGGGGUCGCCGGAGCGCGAGAGCGGCCGCGGGGGUGGAGGAGAGGGGCGUCGCGGCGGCCGGGGUGGAGGAGGGGCGGUGGUGGAGGAGAGGGCGCGGGGGCGGCCGGGGUGGAGGAGGCGGUGCCGGAGUGGCGGGGCAGCCGCGAUCAUCCCUCCCUUGUGCCACCGCCACCUCCCCCAGCCCCAACCCAGCGACCCGGCCCCGACCUCAGCAACCACCGCCCUCCUCUGGCUCGCGCCGCAUUACCAUCCGUCUAUGCAAAUCUACACAAGAAAGGCAUAAACCUUAUGUAUCUUUGCAAGCAUUUACAUAUUGGCAAGGCCGAUGGUGAGAAGUGUAAGUACCUGAGUGAUGCUGUUUCGUGGAAUAUGCCCAGCCACGUGGAAGCAACAACUCUAUUUCAAGGCUGUGUCGUGCAGGUUCUGAUCAUGCAACUGGCUUACCAGUACACCGCCAAGGGGGCAUGCCUUGCCCUGGUAGCAAGGAGGGAGUGGAGCCUGUGGCAGGUCGCCGACCGCGCCUUCGAGCUCGGCGCGCAGGACGUGAUCAUUCUCCCCGGGGACAUCGCAGACCCCGACGACUACAACAGAUUUGUUCAGGCCACAAUCGACCAGUACAGCCAAUGUAAGUCAGCCCCUCUCCGUUACAACUAA